rnacentral:rRNA from 1 species
AGCAGCCGCGGUAAUUCCAGCUCCAAUAGCGUAUAUUAAAGUUGUUGCAGUUAAAAAGCUCGUAGUUGAACUUCGAGAUUUAUUCAUUGGUCAGGCUUAAUUGUUUGUACUGGUGAGAUAAAUCUCUACCUUCUGAGGAACUUUCAUGCCAUUUAUAUGGUGUGAUUGGAAAUCAGGACUAUUACUUUGAAAAAUUAGAGUGUUUAAAGCAGGCUAACGUCUGAAUACAUUAGCAUGGAAUAACGAAAUAGGACGUUUGAUUCUAUUUUGUUGGUUUCUAGGAUCGACGUAAUGAUUAAUAGGGAUAGUUGGGGGCAUUAGUAUUCAAUUGUCAGAGGUGAAAUUCUUGGAUUUAUUGAAGACUAACUACUGCGAAAGCAUUUGCCAAGGAUGUUUUCAUUAAUCAAGAACGAAAGUUAGGGGAUCGAAGACGAUCAGAUACCGUCGUAG